UACGAAGGGUGCAAACGUUGCUCGGAAUUAUUGGGCGUAAAGCGCACGUAGGCGGCUUUGCAAGUCCCAUGUGAAAGCCCACGGCUUAACCGUGGAAGUGCACCCGAAACUGCGUAGCUAGAGUCCUGGAGAGGAAGGUGGAAUGCUUGGUGUAGAGGUGAAAUUCGUAGAUAUCAAGCGGAACACCGGUGGCGAAGGCGGCCUUCUGGACAGUGACUGACGCUGAGACGCGAAAGCGUGGGGAGCAAACAGG
rnacentral:rRNA from 1 species